UACGUAGGGUGCGAGCGUUGCCCGGAUUUAUUGGGCGUAAAGGGCGCGUAGGCGGUCACGCACGUCCGUUGUGAAAUCGCUCGGCUCAACUGGGCGGGGUCAGCGGAUACGGUGUGACUGGAGCAAGCUAGGGGGCAAUGGAAUUCCCGGUGUAGUGGUGGAAUGCGUAGAUAUCGGGAGGAACACCAGUGGCGAAGGCGGUUGCCUGGAGCUUUGCUGACGCUCAUGCGCGAAAGCGUGGGGAGCGAUCCGG
rnacentral:rRNA from 1 species